GUGCCAGCCGCCGCGGUAAUACGUAGGGGGCAAGCGUUGUCCGGAUUUAUUGGGCGUAAAGAGCGUGUAGGCGGCCGUGUAGGUCUGACGUGAAAUCUGGAGGCUCAACCUCCAGCUGUCGUUGGAAACCGCUCGGCUAGAGUCCGGAAGAGGAGAGUGGAAUUCCUGGUGUAGCGGUGAAAUGCGCAGAUAUCAGGAAGAACACCUAUGGCGAAGGCAGCUCUCUGGGACGGUACUGACGCUGAGACGCGAAAGCGUGGGGAGCGAACAGGAUUAGAAACCCCAGUAGUCC
rnacentral:rRNA from 1 species